UACGUAGGGUGCGAGCGUUGUCCGGAAUUAUUGGGCGUAAAGAGCUUGUAGGCGGUUUGUCGCGUCUGCCGUGAAAAUUCGAGGCUCAACCUCGAACUUGCGGUGGGUACGGGCAGACUAGAGUACUGCAGGGGAGACUGGAAUUCCUGGUGUAGCGGUGGAAUGCGCAGAUAUCAGGAGGAACACCGGUGGCGAAGGCGGGUCUCUGGGCGAGGUAAACUGACG
rnacentral:rRNA from 1 species